rnacentral:tRNA from 1 species
GGUUGUGGCUCAGUGAUAGAGUGCUCGCCUAGCACAUGUGAGGCCCUGGGCUCGAUCCUCAGCACCA